GAUGAACGCUGGCGGCGUGCCUAAUACAUGCAAGUAGAACGCUGAAGGAAGGAGCUUGCUCUUUCCGGAUGAGUUGCGAACGGGUGAGUAACGCGUAGGUAACCUGCCUGGUAGCGGGGGAUAACUAUUGGAAACGAUAGCUAAUACCGCAUAACAGUAGAUAUUGCAUGAUAUCUGCUUGAAAGGGGCAAUUGCUCCACUACCAGAUGGACCUGCGUUGUAUUAGCUAGUUGGUGAGGUAACGGCUCACCAAGGCGACGAUACAUAGCCGACCUGAGAGGGUGAUCGGCCACACUGGGACUGAGACACGGCCCAGACUCCUACGGGAGGCAGCAGUAGGGAAUCUUCGGCAAUGGACGGAAGUCUGACCGAGCAACGCCGCGUGAGUGAAGAAGGUUUUCGGAUCGUAAAGCUCUGUUGUAAGAGAAGAACGAGUGUGAGAUGUGGAAAGUUCACACUGUGACG
rnacentral:rRNA from 1 species